AGGAAACACGAACCUUUGUUCAGAAACUCUGACUUUGAAAACAAACUUAAAAGCCUUUACCACCUCUCAUCCCGGAGAACUCUCUUCAGGCUCUGAGGAGAUGCAGUCUGGGACAGUGGGUAACCGGGUGGUACAGGGUAAGUAAUAGGCACAAUUCCCAACUUUGGCACCUAUUAUCUCAACCAGAAGAUUACAGACACUGUGCUCAAGCCUGCGGGUUGGUCAUGAAAGAACCGGUGAAGAAAAUGACUCAGCUGCCAAAACUCUACUUGGAAAUCCAAAUUGCGUAUGGAUAAAUUGGAAUAUCUAUAGUUUGUGUGGACAUGUGUGUCAAGCACAAGUAUGCUCUGCUCUUUACACAGUGCAGGAAGAAGACAGUAGGUGCUGAAACCCCUGCUUCAUGCCUGUGGCCCAUUUCCUUGAUCUGUGACACCAAGCGGAUCUUUGAACACUUGGAGUCCAAUCUGUGAUGUGGAAAGUCAGCAUGUCCAAGUGGAUUGGUCUGUGCAAUUAGCAAAACAAUACAUCCUAAGAGCACUAUUCAGAAUGCCGUGCGUUCUUUAGCCUCAUGCUCCGGACUAGUUUAACAGCUCAAUUCAUUUUAUGUUCUUUAGGUUUCCUGUGCAUCGCUGUUGCAUCAGGAUUCAUUCACAUUCCUCUAACAAGGAGUGUGAACUGUGGAGAGGGUUUAAGCUUUAGGCGGUGAGUGUCUGAUGGGUAGCGUGGGGUGCUGCAUGUCACCAACCCCUGUGCUCAAGAAGAUGCGGGAAAAGAACAACUUGAGCUCUGCUCGCCUGUUUUUGGACAUCUUUGGGGAUGUUGACCUCCGUUUUAUAAAUUUUACGGCACUAUGAAUUAUAGGAAGCCCUCUUAUAGAAUCCCUCUGCAGUCUGUGCUGCUGAAAUCUCAGCUGUGUUUUUGGCUGUGAGCCUAGCCUUUAAUGGCUGAGCCAUCUCUCCAGCCCUCAUCCCCCUGUAUCUCUCUAAAGGAGACAACAUCUACCACUACUCUGUGUCCUCCAGGUGGGGCAGUAUUAGUGGACACUAUUUCCACACUCAUGAGGUUCCAGCCCUUAGACUAGAGGCCUACCUCAGCAGAGGCAGGAGUUGAUCCUCCAUCUUUGUUGAAAAAGGCAUGGGACUAGAAUCUGAAUGUAACUCAGGCGAGUGAAGCUACACCAGACGGUUUUAGGAUAGGAGCUGGCAAUCAAUAGUCCACAAGGCAAUUUCUACCAUGUCUGGCAAGCCGGAUUUAAACAGAACACAGCCAUAGUUAUUGGCCCACUUCCUGCCCAUGGCUACUCUCAUGACAAUGGCUGAGUCAAGAGUUCAAGAUAGACCAAACUCACAUUAUUUAGUAUCUGGUUCUUCAGAGAAACGUUUGCUGACCAUUUUUCUAGAAGCAAGGAAAGCAGCCCAUGAAGCUAGCCUGCGCGAAGUGCCCAUGACGGAAGCUUAUUUUUAGGUAAAUUCUGCAAGUUUAAGCAACGUUCUUUCAGAUUUUCCUGCCUUCAGACUGCAUUCUGUCAAGAUGGAUCAUCCCACCAAAUGGCAGACAGACAGAUGAGCUGUCAGGGCAUAAGGGCCUGUGCACUGCCAGGAAAAUGACUGAGAUGGAUGGGCAGGUAAGGAAGGGGCAUAGGGGCUGAGCAGUAUAAUCUCUCUCUGUCUCUCUGUCUCUCUCUCUCUGUCUCUCUCUGCCUGUGUGUGUGUCUGUGUGUGUGACUACAUCAAUGUUUCAGAAGAUGGGCUUAAAUGAAAGCUCCUUACUGGAGACACAGGGGGGCAGGAGUUUGCAGGAAGGGGCACAGUCCUGUGGAAGGCCAGGUGGGAAGAACCGGAGAUGGAGUGUGAUUCGGGGGAGAGGUGGAGUCAGGAACAAAUACUAAAGAAUGUAGUCGUUUUGCAUGGUUUCAUGUGU